ACCAUCACGACUUAAGAAAAUCAAUCAAGAAAACACCUUAACUUACUGUGAAGAGUCUUACUAGAAAAAGAUAAAGAAAGAAAAGUAAGAAAGGCAGAAAGUAGAAAUGAUAUUGCAUUGAUGUUUUCAUUGUUUUUUUAGUCUCUCAUUUAAAAUGCACUGGUUUAGGUGGGGAAAGGUAAGAGAACAGAAGACAUGUAGUUCACUUAUAAUAUUUAUAUAAUGAUAAUUAUUCUGUGUUUUUGUUCUGUUUUGUUGUUACUGUAACAUUCUGCUUCAUGAUGAUGCUCACUGUGAUAAUAGUCAAUAUGGAGUGAACUAGAGAGUCCAGUGUGACACUGUACAGAAUGGAAAGUGCCUGGAGAGUAGUGGAGUGGAUCUAAGCUGUUAAGUCAGCACAUUUAGGAUGCAGUUACCUCACUCGAUUUUUUUGAUUGGAAGGAGGAAGACAGCUUUCUUCAAAAAAAUUCUGUGGCUGGAAAUCACAUCUUAGUCCAGUGAUGCUUACAAUAUACAGCAACAUUUUCUUCCCCCAUUUUUUCAGUUUAGCUUCAGUGCUCGGUGCAGACUGCUUUUUUUUUUUCCCCUUUCAUUUUAUUUUGAAAAGCUGAAACCCUCACAGACUGAGGCACCUCUUUUUCUAAAGGCACAGCUUAAUGGAGAGAAAAAAAGAAAAAGCUUUGCUUAGGUAUACUUCCAACUUCUCUGGCCACAGUUCCUGGGAGAUUUAUAACAAAUUGGAUCAGACUUCUUUCUCAUCCUGAUAUGAUUUUCUGGGGGGGAGGUGGUAAUGUUAUUUGUUUAUGGUUUUUAUUUAAUAAAGCUGAUUGUCAUCAUCAA